GCCCGUAUUACAGGACAAAGUCUAUCAGGCUGCUGCUGCUUUUAUUUCUGUUCCUCGUCCAUCGUUACAUUGACACUGGCCUGGAGCUGCGAUGGGAGUGAAUUGACUCCAGAGAAAGCAAAGCAGGCAGUAGAGGACUCCAUCUGCACCCCUCACCCCCAAACCGGGCAGAUGCCAGAGGCCAGGCAGAGGACAUAGGCUGCUGCACAGUGGAGGAUCCAUGGAAAGGGACAACAUCCAGGUAAUGCCUUCACAAGCCCUGGGAACUGUGCUACAAGCUGGGAAACACAACAGCGUGAUCCUGUCUGUAUUCAAAGAGCUCACAAUUCCCUGCAGACAGUCCCGAAUCGUGAUGGUGAAAGUUCUCCUUGAGAACCUGAGGAGAGAAGCGGUCCCUCUCCCCAGAGACUGCUCAUUGAAAUGGAUGCAAGAUUUCGUCAGUAACUUGGGAUGUUCAUAAAUUCCUGGAAGUUUGAUCCCUGGCUUCCUAAAAUUCCCUGAAUUCUGAGUUCAGCAUGCCUCCAUGAAACACAGAAUGAAAGACAGCAGGGAAGGAGGGAGGUGACAGAGGGUGUCAGCAUGUCCUCCUGGCUCAGGAAAGCUUUCCUGGAGGAGAUGCUUAGGCGACUUGAAGGAUAAAUCUGAUGUCAGCUGAAGAGGUGAGGGCAUGGGAGGUAGGAAAUGCAUGGAAGUGGGGAGGGACCUGUCAUCACUAGGACUGUGUGAUGGGAGGGGCUGGGUGGGCCAGGCACCAGGAAGCUGGAGGGGGCCAGGUCAUGAAAGGCAUGGCUUUGUCCUGGCCAGAUGGUGUCAGUGCUAUAGCCUUAUGCAGGAAAAGGAGGAUCAGACUUGACUUCUGGAGGAGCCUCUGUUCGGGGCUGAGGAGGGGCUGGAGGAUGGUGGACCAGCUGUCCCCAUCAUGCAGGCCCAGAGUCUGGAUACAGGUGGGCUCUGGGGUUGAGGAGGGAGUACGGGCUGGAGUGGUGUUUAGGAAGGAGAACCAGCAGGACUCCAAAGCUGAUUGGAGGGGCCGUCUGUGCUGGGGCUGGCACUUGGAAUAAACUCCAAGUUUUUGCCUUAAGCAGUUGAGUGCUUGGCGUGGGUGGGUUCAGAAAGUGCCUUUGGGCACGAAUGCCAAUGCAACAUCAUAAAAGUGCCCACACAGGACACAUUUUCUUCCAUUCAAAAUGAAAUAAGCUUUUGUAAAUGGUAAGAAGUACAUUCCUUACAACUCAGAUGACCCAGGAGAUUGGAUAGAAGGAAGUCAAGAGAAAGCCAAUACUGCCUUUUAUUCACAGAGUUGUAUCUGCCAUCACAUGGAGGCAGCUUUCUAAUCUUUCUCUGCAGUAGAAGCAGGCGCUGUGGCGCUGCUGGGGCGUUGGGCUGUCUGCAGUCUGGGCACACAGGGAUACUCAUGCCGGAGGGCUGGGAGGAGUCCUGGAUAGGCUCAGUUGGAGCUGCUCAGUACAGUGUGCUAUGUAAAGAGAGUCCCCCAAAUGUCAAAUCAUAAUUUUGAAUUUCUUAUAAAUAAAUUUCUAUAGGUUAGGAAUCUUGGGUAUUAUAAAUCUUGACUUAUGAUAAAAGUACUCAUUGAAAGAAACCCACAUACACUUAGCUGCCAUUUCUUUUUUCCCUUUUUUUAAAGCCAUGCUCACGGAUUUGAACCCGUGCCACAGCAGCAAACUAAGCCACUGCAGUGACAAGGUCAGGUCCUUACCUGCUGAGCUACCAGGAAACUGCUGCUACCAUUUCAAACUUCAUAUACUAGGACAGUGAUUAAAAUUUAAAUAACAGCUUUAUUUUGAGAUAUAUUUCACAUACCAUAUGAUUCACCCAUUUAAAUUAUACAAUGCAGAAUUCCCACUGAGAUGCAGUGGGUUAAGGAUCCAGCAUUGCUGCAGCUGUGUCAUAGGUCGCAGCUGCAGCUCAGAUUUGAUCCCUGGCCCAGGAAUUCCCAUAUGCUGUGGAUGUGGCCGUAAAAAAAAAAAAGAAAAAAGAAAAAAGAAAAAGAAAGAAUCUUUGCCGUACUAAAGAAGAGAUGCAUAUGUGAUUCUGAGUUUCUUAGUGGCCAAAACAGAUAAAGAAACACAACUAAUGACAAGCAGUAAUUUAUCUAAGAAGUGAAUAUACUGGUUUUACAGCAAAGAGAUCUGAGUGACGGUCCCUCCUCCUUAUAAGAGGUCUGUCCCCACGGCAGAUUCCCAGACUAGGGGUUGAAUCAGAGCUGUAGCCGCCGGCCUACGCUUCAAUUUAAACCAACAGAAGAAUAUAUUUUCUCUUGAUGCCAGUAAUCAGAGGCACCUGAAAAAAUUCCUGACAUAUGAAAACUUUUGUAUACAUUUUAAAAUAUAUAUCUUUUGCAUUAUUUUUCUUGUUCCAAAAGGAAUACCAUUUAACUGCCAAAAGAAUUUUAGAAAAAAAAUUUAAAUAAAAAUUAAUUG
rnacentral:lncRNA from 1 species